rnacentral:rRNA from 1 species
GAUCAUGGCUCAGGAUGAACGCUGGCGGCGUGCUUAACACAUGCAAGUCGAACGGGAAAUAUUUCAUUGAGACUUCGGUGGAUUUGAUCUAUUUCUAGUGGCGGACGGGUGAGUAACGCGUGGGCAACCUGCCUUAUACAGGGGGACAACAGUCAGAAAUGGCUGCUAAUACCGCAUAAGCGCACAGAGCUGCAUGGCUCAGUGUGAAAAACUCCGGUGGUAUAAGA